rnacentral:rRNA from 1 species
UACGAAGGGGGCUAGCGUUGCUCGGAAUCACUGGGCGUAAAGGGUGCGUAGGCGGGUCUUUAAGUCCGGGGUGAAAUCCUGGAGCUCAACUCCAGAACUGCCUUUGAUACUGAGGAUCUUGAGUCCGGGAGAGGUGAGUGGAACUGCGAGUGUAGAGGUGAAAUUCGUAGAUAUUCGCAAGAACACCAGUGGCGAAGGCGGCUCACUGGCCCGGUACUGACGCUGAGGCACGAAAGCCAGGGGAGCAAACGGG